UACGUAGGGGGCGAGCGUUGUCCGGAAUCAUUGGGCGUAAAGAGCGUGUAGGCGGCUUGGCAAGUCUGACGUGAAAGCCCGCGGCUCAACCGCGGAUUGUCGUUGGAAACUGCCUCGCUAGAGUCCGGAAGAGGAGAGCGGAAUUCCUGGUGUAGCGGUGGAAUGCGCAGAUAUCAGGAAGAACACCCGUGGCGAAGGCGGCUCUCUGGGACGGUACUGGCGCUGAGACGCGAAAGCGUGGGGAGCGAACAGG
rnacentral:rRNA from 1 species